UAAUAGUGUACAUGUAGUUUAAUGGUCAAAACCCAAUUUUUUCAUCUUCCUCUCUUCAUUCCUUUCACUCAUCAUCAAACUAUAAAUUUUCUAGUAACUUCUUCAAAAUUAACCUUGAUUAGUUAGAUAAUAAAAAACCCAUGAAAGAAAACCAGACAAACAACCAACCUGAAUCAUCAUUUUCCAAAAAAUAAAUAAAAAUAACCCGGAUUAUUGGUCGGUCCAAUGUACUAUUUCUCUCAAAACACAAAUGAAUAGUCAAAUAAUAAAAGAGAAAACUUGGGUGUAAAAAAAAAAUAGAUUUGGUAGAGAUUUGAAGGUCGCUUUCUGUUUUCUGACUCUCAUGAAAGACAAUGACCCUUCUAUUCAUAUUCAUUCAUUAAUUCUUCUUUCUCUCCUUCUUCACUCUUCUCCUUAAAAAUCUCACUGCCUCUUCUUUCUUUCUCUGAGCCUCUCUUACUUAAAUCUAGUACGGAGUACCUCAAAGAGACACUCUAUCUGCUGCUCGAUUAGCUUCCCUUCUCGAGUUUAUCUCGAGUUUUAUCUGCUGCUCGAUUAGCUUCUCUUCUCUGAGUUUUUUUAUAAACACUUAAAUUGUUAUUAUUGCUUGUUGUAGUAAGUAUAGUUAUUUUUUUUCCCUUUAUUUAAGGGUUUGUUUACUUAUUUGAUUUGAUGGGUUCCUAAAAUUUUGCUUUCUUGUCUAAAAUCCAAAAAAAAUAAAUAAACUUUUUUUUAUUUAAAUUUUUGAGGAAAAAUUGAGAGUGCACAUUUAGGUGGUGGGGUUGUUGUAAAUAUUUUCUCAGGUGGAGUGUGGAUUUAGUGAAUGAUUGUGUAGUCUUAUCAAUGUUGUCUCUGAACAAAAACAUUUUUUUAAAAAUUUAUUUUUCAAAAAAGAAUUAUUAAAAUUAAUUUGAGAAUAAAAUUAUAUUUAGAGUGUACUUUGAUGGUCAGGGUGAGAUCAUAUCAAUAGUCAGUAUUCUGCCUUAAAAUAGAUUUACAUGAUUCCCCAUUUUAGAUUCUUUUUUCAUCAAUCUAAGCUUUUUUGUCUUUCUCUCUCUAACAUUUUCUCUCUCUAAAUUCAGCCUGUUUUUUCAUAUCUACUCUUUAAUCUUAGAUUCACUAAUUGCAUGGUUGUGAAUGAUUUUUAAGAAAAUCAAAAUUAAAUUAGAGUAUUAGACUAAUUAUUUUUAUAGUUAUUAAUUUUUGUUAUAAAAAAUUCAGUUUUCUUUUGUGAUUUAUGCUCCCUAUGUUAAUUUUUAGUAACUUGAUCUGUCCCCUCUUUUUAUUGCUUGUUCUUCUCCCUAGCAUGAUGGGUUUAUGUUAUUUUAUUUUUAUGUGUUUUAAAUUUUUCAUAAUAAUUAACAAUAUCAAUUAAUUUUUUAUUACAUUUGUUAAAGCUUUGCAUUAGGGUUAGGGUUUGUUUAAGUAAUUGCUAUGUUCAGUAAGGAUGAACUUAGUGGUGGUUUUUUUUUUUUUUUUGUUUAUGAUUUGUAUUGUAUGAUAAUUAGCUUAAUUAUACUUAGUUUUUUUAGAAAAUUUCUCAUAUUUCUGUUUCUUACACUUAGAAAUUUGUUAAUGCAAUAUUAUCAUAUAUUAUUCUAAUUAAUUUUAUUUUUGACUAAUUAUAUUAUUUCUGCUAUUCAAUUUUUUUAGCUUCUUUUACCUUGAAUGAGUCUUUACUCUUUUGAAUUAAUUACUGUACACUUUAGAAGAACUUUUUUUUUUAAAUAAUAAUUUUUUAUUAGUCAUUUUAAGUUUAUUCAAAUGAACCAUUAGUUUACAAUAAUUUGAUUUGUUUAAAUGAAACCGAAUAUCUUUGUUAGUUCAAAUCACAUGAACUUCAUUGUUCUUUAUUGAUUAUAUACUACCUUCGUUACAGGUUAUGUGCAAUGAUUUGACAUAAAGCAUAUAUAUGCAUCUUUAAUUUCAAUCUUCCUUGUUAACCUCACAUAAAUUCCUAAGUUGUCAUCUCUUCAAUUGAAUCAAUAACCGAAGAAAGCCGAAAAUCAUGUGUUUAAUUUGUCUAAUACAAGUAGUAGUUAUGUUGUAAUUGCAUGUGUUAGAAUUUAUAUAUAUUUGGAUAUGUUAGGAAUGAAGAAGUAGUGUAAGAGAGCUUCCUUCAGCCCACUCAUGGAUGGAAAAAAGGGGUAUAGAAUUAUCUGCCGACUCAUUCAUUCAAACACUUAGUAGUACGAAAUAUUAUCGAAAUUUGUAAUGUACUACUGUGAUUGCAUGAAUGAUGCGGGAGAUAGUUUCCAUCCUUCUCUCUCUUUGCUUGGACUGAAGGGAGCUCCCUUUCUCUAUUCCCUUCUUUUUUUCGCAUUUUUCGAUUGCUUAUUUUCAUGAACAAGUUUUGAUUGUAUAAUUUGUUAUUGAUGAUAAUUCAAAUGUUGUUUCAUGGUUUAGUUGUGAUAUUCAAUUACUUAGAAUUGCCUUUUUUCUCUCCUAUAUUUCGUAUUGUAUUGAUCAUAUUACAUUUAUCUAAUCAUUUUGUCAUUUUAAUCCAUGGAAAUUUCGGCAUGGUGUAUGAAUUCUGUCACAUUCGUAGACCAGGUGGUGAUAUUGAUUGACAAUCUUGCUUCAGAGUAUACCAGUUUGAGGCUUCUUGCAAUUUCCCUGGUGAUUAAUGUUCGAUUGAUGUCUGCGAAAUCUUGAAAUAUCUUUCAUUGAUCCCACAACGAUGGUGAAUGGUCUUUCAAUGGAAGUUUUUAUGUAAAAAUGAUCAUGUCCCUCGUCUGGGUUACUAGAGUUAGGCAUUGGAUCCAAAGUCCUGAGUAAAUCGGUCCAGAUACCGGAAUGCAUCCAUGGUUGUGCCAGGAAUAUUGUGCCGAGGUAUUUUCUCUUCCUUCUACACCUCCUCCCACCUCUCCAGAAGAUGCAGUUAGAACAAAGCAGCUCAUUGGCCUAGUAAACCGACAUUCAACUUUGAUUCGGCGGUGGAACUACCUUUUUUAUGACGGAAUUGGAAAAGGGUAAAGGGAAGUAAGCAUGGUGCAGGCUACUCUUUUUAAAAGUACAAUCUUAAUUAAUAACUUAGUGUGAUAUUUGUUUAAAACUUUGCUUAAAAUGUGCUUAGUUUAAUGAUAACUUGCUCACAAGUACAGAUUCAGAGAUUCUCGUGGGUAUUUUAGCAUCAAAUGCUCAGUUAAUCGAGUUCUCCGAGGAUGCAAGUACAACCCUAACCUAAUAUUAUUUUCAUUUGAAAUCGCGCUCAUGUCUUUGUGCUUGCUUUAUUUCUAAUUCAAAUAAUGCGGCUGCUACUUUGUUUAAUUAAUUUUUCAAUAUUUUAGUGGGUUUACUUAUGUCAUAUAAUUGGAUUACAUUUUACAAAUUAUUAAAUGUCAAUUUAUUACCCUGGAAUCUCAGCACAUUAAUUAGAAUGAUCUAGCUACUAGCUUGGUUUUGGCACAUUGUUAAUACCUAAUUUCUCUUGGUAUUUUACCAAAUAAGGAUGACUUCUACUUCUUGGUACAUUGUCUCUUUUGGCAAUAAGGUUUAGUUUGAAAAUUAUUAACUAUUACUUCGUACUAUGUAUCAUUGUUUUAUUAAUAAUACUCCUUAUGUAUUUAAAAGUCGUUGAGAGGAAUGAGGAGAUGUAGGUAUGGUUAGUCCCCCCACCCCCCACCCCAAUUGGUUGGAGGUUCGAGUCCUCACCCAAUCCCUCCAUUCCUGUGAUAGUGUGAGGGCUCACCCCGUAUCUUACCAAUUUUAAAGUCAUUGUUCAAACAGGAAAAACACUCGGUUGUGGUGAGACGGUGAUAGUUUUUAUUAUUUAUUUAAACAGAAUGAUAGUAAUUUAUAGUACGUGACACUUUGAACCAGAGCACUAGUUUGUUUUACAGAUAUAUUUAUUUAUAAUAUUUAAUAUAACACAAUGAUUUUCCUUAUUUUUUUAAUAGAGCUUGGGUACAAAGGAGUUUUUUUUGGUCAAGAUGAAAUAUAGGAAUCAGUUAAAUGUGGUCCAAAAAAGAAUUAAAAAAAA